rnacentral:lncRNA from 1 species
GUAGCCAACAAGACCAAGACUUUUGACAACUAAUCAUGGAGCUCCAGGAAGGAGACAAAGCUGCUUAGCAACUCCCCAAACAGAAUUGCCUCUAACCGUGUGAAAAGAAUUUGACUAAUAGACUCAGAGAGUUUGGUGGUAACCAUUGACAUCCAGGCGUAGAAUCCGUUUCUAGGAAUGUAAGGCUGGCAAGUUGUUUCAGGCUGAGCCUGGAGCUGAGCCUCAGAGAGGAUACUCAAAGCAGAGGUACCAGUAUCUUACACCUUUAAAUGUGGAUUCUCAAUCACUUUUAAUUCAGCUGUGGUCAAACUCAACUAGAAUAAAAUAAAGACUUCAAAGGGUUGGCAAUAAGGAGAAGUCAAGAAACGGGCAGUAAAAAGGAGAAAGAAAAAGGAGGGAAAUGACAUAUGUUGAGAACCUGCUAGUCCGCUCUGCACACAUCUUCUCAGUUAAUCCUCCCAACCACUCUCCUUGGUAGAAAGAGUGCCUGUCCCCGCACCGUGAGGAUCAGCUUCCUGGAUCUCUUCUCCUCCGUUCCCUGGUGCAGCCAGGUGGCAGCUGUUUGACUUAACCCCAACCAGUUGGACACACAGAUGUCAGAGAUGGUUGCAGGUGACUUGUUACAGCCGU